rnacentral:rRNA from 1 species
GACGGAGGGUGCAAACGUUGUUCGGAUUCACUGGGCAUAAAGCGCACGUAGGCGGCCCGUUUAGUCAGACGUGAAAUCCCCCGGCUCAACCGGGAAGUGCAUCUGAUACUGGCGGGCGUCGAGGUCGAUAGGGGUGAGCGGAACUCCAGGUGGAGCGGUGAAAUGCGUAGAUAUCUGGAGGAACACCGGUGGCGAAAGCGGCUCACUAGGCCGACACUGACGCUAAGGUGCGAAAGC